rnacentral:rRNA from 1 species
UACGGGGGGGGGCUAGCGUUGUUCGGAAUUACUGGGCGUAAAGGGCGCGUAGGCGGUCUGCUAAGUUGGAUGUGAAAACUCUGGGCUUAACCCAGAGCCUGCAUUCAAUACUGACAGGCUAGAGUUCUGGAGGGGAUAGCGGAAUUCCUGGUGUAGCGGUGAAAUGCGUAGAUAUCAGGAGGAACACCGGUGGCGAAGGCGGCUAUCUGGACAGAGUCUGACGCUGAGGCGCGAAAGCUAGGGGGAGCAAACAGG